UUGAGAUCGCAGAAGCUUCAGGUGUGUGUCAGGGGACCAAGAUCGUGCUCCACCUUAAGGACGACUGCAAAGAGUUUUCAUCAGAAGACCGAGUCAAAGAGGUUGUGACCAAGUACAGCAACUUUGUCAGUUUUCCCAUCUUCCUGAACGGACGGCGGUUAAACACCCUGCAGGCGCUCUGGAUGAUGGAGCCCAGAGACCUCAGCGAGUGGCAGCAUGAGGAGUUUUAUCGCUAUGUGGCUCAAGCCCAUGAUAAACCCCGCUACACACUGCACUACCGCGCAGACGCUCCGCUCAACAUCCGCAGCAUCUUCUACGUGCCGGAGAUGGUGAGUGUGAGAUGACGACUGAAUCAGACAAAUACACA